rnacentral:sRNA from 1 species
ACAGAAGAUAAGAGGAUGUUUAGACUCUUAGAUGGCUGAGCAUAGAUCACUCAUACCUUAGAUAAUGCAAAGAAUAUCUUGCUUCCUAAUCACCUGUUAAUUUUUAUUGAUAGUAUGAUCGAAGCCUUUUCACAUCCUGAGCAUACCACUCCUCAAUCAAUGCAAGUAGAUACAAGUUCAGAAAUUUCUAGUGCACAGAUUUCUACAUAUAAAGACAAAUCUUCCUCAGUUCCACUUCUGAUAUCAAAUGGAGUCAAUGUUGCUUUACAACCACCUGUUCCAACACCUCAGAAGACCGAGAGAAAUGAAUGCACGGCUCAGUUACCAGAUCGUUCAGAGUCCGUUAGGCAGAUGCUGCAAGAUGAAAUGUUUAAAUUAGUUCAGCUGCAACAGAUCAACUUCAUGAGCCUAAUGCAAAUAGUAGGAUCAUCCUUUGCUAAUCUCCCAGAUAUACAACAACUUGUACAGCAGUCUCAGUCUGUGCAUUUAGGGGAAAGCCAAGAAUCAAACCUAAGAGGAUGUGGUGAUGUUGAAGACAGCAACAAAAAUCUUAAGGAGAGAUUUUUUAUUAAACCACAGUCAGUGGGAGAGAACACCAGAGAGCCUCGCAAGAACAGCCCACACUGCCAUGAAGGAACUAUCCCAUCUGGUCAAAAUAGUACUGGAAACAUACAGAAUGUUCCACAUGGGAGUAUUCCUUUAUGU